GGAGUUAGCCGGUGCUUCUUCUGUGAGUGAUGUCCUUCCUGCCGGCUAUUAACCCGCAGGCCUUCUUCCUCACUGAAAGUGCUUUACAACCCGAAGGCCUUCUUCACACACGCGGCAUGGCUGGAUCAGGGUUGCCCCCAUUGUCCAAUAUUCCCCACUGCUGCCUCCCGUAGGAGUCUGGGCCGUGUCUCAGUCCCAGUGUGGCUGAUCCAUCCUCUCAGACCAGCUACGGAUCGUCGCCUUGGUGAGCCGUUACCUCACCAACCAGCUAAUCCGACAUAGGCUCAUCCGAUAGCGCGAGGCCCGAAGGUCCCCCGCUUUCCCCCGUAGGGCGUAUGCGGUAUUAGCCUGGGUUUCCCCAGGUUAUCCCCCACUACCGGGCAGAUUCCUAUGCAUUACUCACCCGUCCGCCGCUCGCCACCAGGGAGCAAGCUCCCCGUGCUGCCGCUCGACUUGCAUGUGUUAGGCCUGCCGCCAGCGUUCAAUCUGAGCCAGAAUCGAACCCUGA
rnacentral:rRNA from 1 species